rnacentral:rRNA from 1 species
UGCCAGCCUCCGCUGUACUACUGAGUGUGCGAGCGUUAAUCGGAAUUACUGGGCGUAAAGGGCGCGUAGGUGGCUAGAUUAGUCGGGUGUGAAAGCCCCGGGCUCAACUCGGGAAUUGCAUUCGAUACUGUUUAGCUAGAGUGCAGUAGAGGGAAGCGGAAUUCCGGGUGUAGCGGUGAAAUGCGUAGAUAUCCGGAGGAACACCAGUGGCGAAGGCGGCUUCCUGGACUGACACUGACACUGAGGCGCGAAAGCGUGGGGAGCAAACAGGAUUAGAUA